AUGGCGACGGAGACAGAGCCCGCCGCCGCCGCGGCGCCGUGCCUCCUCCUCGGCCCUCCCCUCAUCCGCGCCGCACGCCCGUCCCCCGCCACUGCCGCCGCCGCCGGUGACGACACCGACGCGUCGCACCCGUUCCUCGACCUCCUGGACGCGGCCUUCAACGCGCCGUCGGCAGAGGAGAUCAAGGCCGCCCUCAAGCCGCGGAGGGCGCUCACGGAGAACUGCUCCGCCACGUACGCCAACUCGGGCAACCCCUGCCUCGACUUCUUCUUCCAGGUGGUCCCCGACACCCCGCCCGAGCGCGUGCGCUCCCUGCUCGCCGCCGCCUGGACCCACGACGCGCUCACGGCGCUCAAGCUUGCCUGCAACCUCCGCGGCGUGCGCGGCACCGGCAAGUCGGACAAGGAGGGGUUCUACGCCGCCGCGCUCUGGAUGCACGAGAACCACCCCAGGACGCUCGCCUGCAACGUCGCCGCGCUCGCCGAGUUCGGCUACCUCAAGGACUUCCCCGAGCUGCUCUUCCGCCUCAUCCACGGCGCCGACGUGCGCAAGGUCGCCAAGGCCGGAGUGGAGGCAGACAAGGUGCGCAGGAAGGCCAAGGCCCUGGCCAAGCAGCGGGAGGGCCUCCGCGCCAGGCUUGCCGGCCGGAAGCGCGCCCGCGAGCUGGCGCCCGAGCCGGCCAAGGCUACCUUCGGCGACUUCCUCUCGGCCGCCCUCUCCAAGUUCGGCAAGGGCAAGCCCGUGGAGGUGGAGACCGCCCCUGCCGCGGUCGAGGAGCCGAAGCCGGAGGCAAUGGAGAUUGAUUCGAAGAAGACGGCGGACAAGCCGCGCCGGAUGUCCAAGAAGGUCCGCAAGGUGGCCAAGCUCGCCGUGCAGUCGCUGGAGACGUACUACGGCGAUCGCGCCUACCGCUUCCUGUUCGACGCCGUCGCCGACUUCUUCGCCGCGCUCCUUGCCUCGGACCUCGAGCAGCUGGCCCCCAAAGGCAAGAAGAGGAAGAUUGGGCUCGCCGCCAAGUGGUGCCCCACGCCGGGCUCGUCGUUUGACCGCAGCACGCUGCUCUGCGAGGCCAUCGCCCGCCGCCUCUUCCCGCGUGACUCGGACCCUGAGCUCGCCCAGCUCACGGAUGACCACUACACGUACCAGGCCCUCCACCGCCUCCGCCGAGAGGUGCUCGUGCCGCUGCGCAAGGUCCUGGAGCUCCCGGAGGUGUACAUGAGCGCGCAGCGGUGGUCGGAGCUGCCCUACAACCGCGUGGCCUCGGUGGCCAUGCGGCGCUACAAGUUCCUCUUCAAGAAGCACGACGAGGCGCGCUUCGACAAGUACCUCGAGGACGUGGAGGAAGGCAAGGCCAAGAUCUCGGCGGGCGCGCUCCUGCCGCACGAGAUUGCCGCCUCCGCCUACCGCGGCGUUGAGGACAACGUGUCGGAGCUCCAGUGGCGCCGCAUGGUGGACGACCUCCGCUCCAAGGGGUCGCUGCGCAACUGCAUCUCGGUCUGUGACGUGUCCGGGAGCAUGAACGGCACCCCGAUGGAGGUGUGCGUCGCGCUGGGCGUGCUCACGUCGGAGCUCAGCGAGGAGCCAUGGGCGGGCAAGGUGAUCACCUUCAGCUCCACCCCCGAGAUCCACCUGAUCAAGGGCAAGACCCUUGCCAAGAAGAUGGCCUUCGUUAAGCGCAUGCAAUGGAACAUGAGCACCAACUUCCAGGCGGUGUUCGACCAGAUCCUCCGCACGGCCGUGAACGCCCGGCUGGCGCCGGAGAAGAUGAUCAGGACAGUGUUCGUGUACAGCGACAUGGAGUUCAACCAGGCGUCGGGGCAUGGCGGCGGUGGAUACUACGGAUAUGGAUCGCGGUUAUCGUCCGGGUCCUGGGACACUGACUACAACGUUAUCUGCAAGAAGUUCAGGGAUGCCGGGUACGGCGACGUGGUGCCGCAGAUCAUCUUCUGGAACCUGCGCGACUCCAAGUCGACGCCGGUGACGUCGACGCAGCCCGGGGUGGCCAUGGUGAGCGGCUUCUCCAAGAACUUCCUCAAGAUCUUCCUGCAGAACGACGGCGUGGUAAACCCCGAGGCCAUCAUGAUGCAGGCCAUCGCCGGCGACGAGUACCAGAAGCUGACCGUGUACGACUAG
rnacentral:rRNA from 1 species